UCGCCCUUACUGAGACACGGUCCAGACUCCUACGGGAGGCAGCAGUGGGGAAUAUUGCACAAUGGGCGCAAGCCUGAUGCAGCGACGCCGCGUGAGGGAUGAAGGCCUUCGGGUUGUAAACCUCUUUCAGCAGGGAAGAAGCGCAAGUGACGGUACCUGCAGAAGAAGCGCCGGCUAACUACGUGCCAGCAGCCGCGGUAAUACGUAGGGCGCAAGCGUUGUCCGGAAUUAUUGGGCGUAAAGAGCUCGUAGGCGGUUUGUCGCGUCUGCUGUGAAAACUCGAGGCUCAACCUCGGGCUUGCAGUGGGUACGGGCAGACUAGAGUGCGGUAGGGGAGACUGGAAUUCCUGGUGUAGCGGUGGAAUGCGCAGAUAUCAGGAGGAACACCGAUGGCGAAGGCAGGUCUCUGGGCCGCAACUGACGCUGAGGAGCGAAAGCAUGGGGAGCGAACAGGAUUAGAUACCCUGGUAGUCCAUGCCGUAAACGUUGGGCACUAGGUGUGGGGCUCAUUCCACGAGUUCCGUGCCGCAGCAAACGCAUUAAGUGCCCCGCCUGGGGAGUACGGCCGCAAGGCUAAAACUCAAAGAAAUUGACGGGGGCCCGCACAAGCGGCGGAGCAUGCGGAUUAAUUCGAUGCAACGCGAAGAACCUUACCAAGGCUUGACAUACACCGGAAACUUCCAGAGAUGGUUGCCCCGCAAGGUCGGUGUACAGGUGGUGCAUGGUUGUCGUCAGCUCGUGUCGUGAGAUGUUGGGUUAAGUCCCGCAACGAGCGCAACCCUCGUCCUAUGUUGCCAGCGGGUCAUGCCGGGGACUCAUAGGAGACUGCCGGGGUCAACUCGGAGGAAGGUAGGACGACGAAGGGCGAAUCGU
rnacentral:rRNA from 1 species